UUCCUGUGGGAAGGGAAAGCCUGAAUUAUAUCAAUACGUAGUGAAUAAGGUUUGGUUUCAGUUAAACACAGAUCUCUAUUCCAAGGGCUAGGGUUUAUUGCCAUUAACAGCUCCUCACACACAAGGCUUGAUUUGAGCCAGAGCAGUUGGCUAUUCCAGAACUGGCAGUAGAUUUUGGGAACUGUGUAUACUAGUUGCUUUUUACAACAAGCUCAGUGGUUGUUAACUUUUGAUCUUCUGUGUGUUUAGGCCUUUAACUUCGAGAAGUCCCACCCAGAUUGACUGAUUGUCAGAAAUUCUGGGAACUGAAGUCCAAAACAUCUGAAGGACCAUAGGUUGGGAACCACAGAUCUAGGUCUGUAGCAACAGAAGAUAAAUACUUCAGUAACAAGACUUGCAAAUAUGUCCGUGUUUCACUUCUAAAAAACCAUUUGCAAAGUGGGCCACAGAAAUGCAGGAAGAAGCGGAUUAACUGUAUGGAUGAUUACACUGCAAGUUCUGGAGCCAGUUUGGGGGGAAAGGGUGGCCUCACACUGGUUCCAGGACCCACAGUAUCUGCAGCUUAACAGCCAUGGAGAAUAUCCCCCCCUUCUCCAACUUCCUCCAAUGAAAUAUGUUGGCGUUGUCCUGCUCCAAGCACCUUACUCUCUCCAGGUAGUUUGCUAGCCGGUCAUUGAGGCACUGCAUCAGCUCUUUUUCGUUGCAAUUGAGGAUUCCCUCAUCAUGCCAGCCAUUAUUUCCAGAAAGGAAAGGGGCAAAGGAAGCAUUUGGUGGGCAAAUGCUGGGCAUGUAGUUCCCACAUCCCAGCUUAAUGGAAGAGGAAGAAACACUUCUGCUACCAAAAGCAAGGCUUGGGACUCGGCAUGAGCCACCUGAAUGGACAGAAGCAAUCCGAGUGAGACCGCCACCCUUGACGGAACCAGAAGAAACGGUCUGAGCAUAGUACUUGGAAGCCAUAGCAAUAAGUAGACGAGUGGAACUAGCUAGAGUUUGUUAUUUUAGCAAAUUUACAGGAUAGCUCAAAAGCCCAAGUCACCCAAAAGUAAGCCUGUUAUACCCCACUAGGAUGUUUUUAUACUCCUCAUAUUGGGUGUUGGCAAAUUACAUAGGAUCUUUCUCUUGGGAAAGUUUGUGUCAGGUUCUUUAGGAGCAUCAAAUGGCCUGUUGCUUUAAUUGCCCAUUGGGAACAAACCUUCUCAUUAAAACAGAAAGAGAGAGAGAGAAACAGCUCAGAUAAGUUGGGACUCAUCACUAGUGAUUCUUCACUAUUUAUGAUGUUUGUUUUAUAGCAUCAUCAAAGAGACCUUUCAUCAUAGCUAGACUGCAGGUUUUGCUAGUGGAGCAAGAUGAUAUUACUGGAAACUGGCCUUGGGACUCAGGGGGUUUUCAAUGUGUGCCUUGAUCAUCACAAUAAAUGUGGGAUCAUAAAUGUAUUUGCUAAAUUCCAUUGAAUUUAGUGGAUCAUUUACCAAAUUACAUGAAUAAAUGCAACCUGAAAACUCAUUAAAUGUAGAACAAAUAGAAACAUCAGAUGGAGCCAAUUAUCUAGAAAAGUAUGUGUAUGUGAGGGUCUCCUUCUCUGUAUGACUUCAAAACAGCUAGCUCUAGGUGGAGUUCCUGCAGUGAAUGGGAAUGGUGUUUGAAGUCCACGGUCUAUGGGACUCCUUCCGAUUCUAUGAGAUUAUGGCUGCUUCUACAUAGCCAUUUAUAUAAUGACUGUGUAAAAGAUCAGCAUGUGGUUUUAAAAAAUCAGAUUCACUUCAGAGUGCCUACACAGACACCCCUGAACUAGCUGGAGGCAGUGACAGUGGCUACAAAGAUUUGCUGAGUGUGGAUCAAUCCAAUCUAUAGAUUUUAUUUCUCCUACCUCCUCUGGCUGGGUGUGCUGAUGGAAAACAGCUUCUCAGUGUUUGACUGCAGCAAAACAAGGCAAGAGACAUCAAUCAAGUGUUCCUAUGGGAAUGCUGUGGUUUAUUUUCCAGAGGGGAGAUAUUUGUUUACAUUCUGGUUGAACUGUGUAUCUGGUGUCUUACUCUGACUGCUGCCCUGUCUACAUAAAUGCUCUCCAUUUGGCAUUCCGUUUCCUCCUGUGCAUUGUUUACACACAGAUAAGAGUUGAUCCAACAUUACCAAGGAUUUUUGUAUCACAUUGUUUUCUCACAGGAUUCAUGUUGUAGAUUGCACUGGAGGAUGUAUGAUUUGUAGAUGCCUUAAGCUGCUUCAGACUGGAUUUUAGUGUCUGUGUAGAAGGGCCUCCUGAUCCAGCAAUUCCAGAUUUUUCCAGCGAGCCUCUUCCUAAUGCCUGCUGAACACAUUUUUUCUCCCUGAAACAAAAAGUAAGAUGGCAGCCUCCCCCUGCUUAUCAUCCUUACAACAGAAUUAUAGCACUAUUGCUCAACUCUAAUUGCCAUAGUUCCAUCCUAUAGAAUCCUAUGAUUAAUAGUUUAGGUGAAAGGCAUGGGAAACUCUCAGCCAAAAAAAUCCUCUAAUGCUCCUUCAAAUAAAAAAAAAUGCAGGAUUGUAUAGGACCAGGUCACGGUAGUUUAAGUGGAAUAAGAGCACUAUAAUUCUGUGAUGUGAGUGGGCCCCUGGUUAGAUGUAGAUCAGACUGUCAGUUGGUUCUUAUUUCAAUGCCAAAAACUGGUCUGCAUUUUUCCCAUAUCUUUUACAAAUAUAUAUUUAAUUGAGAAUUAGAAAAUAUAUUAACAUUACAAAAAUUAAAGAAAAGGAAAAAGAUAUAAACAAUUGGGGGGGGGGGAGGUUACGGAUUUAUCCACAUAUGUAAGCAGAUAAUGAUGGGAACAAGAGAGAGGCGGGUGUGGGUCCAAUUCAGGGACAAGGCUCACUCUGCAACUCGGAACCUUUUACGUUAGAGGUACAGACCCUAAAACACCCCCAAUUCAGGAGAAAAAGGAGAGCCAACAGAGUAUAUUCUGCCACUUGAGGCUGCAAACCAGGCAUUCCAACAUGGCAUAAACAAUCUUGAAGAGGCUCUAUGUAAAAAUAAACAAUCACAUUCGUCUUAUUCGUAUUCAAAUUUGCUUUGAUAUUUAAUAAAUUGUGAAAUUAGGUGGUCUAAACAGUUUAGCCAAUAACAUGUCUGCAAAAAGCCCUGAAAUGUGAAAAAUAUUAUAAAUGCAUGUUAGGGAGAAAAAAAAUGAA